AAUGGGCGCAAGCCUGAUCUAGCCAUGCCGCGUGAGUGAUGAAGGCCUUAGGGUCGUAAAGCUCUUUCGCCAGGGAUGAUAAUGACAGUACCUGGUAAAGAAACCCCGGCUAACUCCGUGCCAGCAGCCGCGGUAAUACGGAGGGGGUUAGCGUUGUUCGGAAUUACUGGGCGUAAAGCGUACGUAGGCGGAUUAGAAAGUUGGGGGUGAAAUCCCGGGGCUCAACCCCGGAACUGCCUCCAAAACUACUAGUCUAGAGUUCGAGAGAGGUGAGUGGAACUCCGAGUGUAGAGGUGAAAUUCGUAGAUAUUCGGAAGAACACCAGUGGCGAGGGCGGCUCACUGGCUCGAUACUGACGCUGAGGUACGAAAGUGUGGGGAGCAAACAGGAUU
rnacentral:rRNA from 1 species